UAAAUAUCCAACAAAGAAGUUUAAAAUGGGGAGUGGUGGGAUCCAACUGGCUUUUGUAAAACAGUAACUGCCCUCACAUGAAGCAAGAAGCAGAAACGAUAAGGCAGAGCCAAGGCCCUGUUGGCAGCAAUGCAGGCAGACUGAUUGUGCCUCUCCCUGCAACACCCGCACCCAGUGACUUCAGUCUGGAUGGUUUCAGAUGCAAGUAACAGAACACGCGGCCUCCAACAAUAAGCAUGUUUGUGGAAGAGCAAAAAGGGAAAAGAAAAAAAUGUGAGAGAAUGAAAAGAUGAAAAUAAAGUGUUUAUAGAUGGGGAGGGGAGGAGGGGGUGAAGGGAGGGCAGAGGUAAGGGGAAAAAAUGAGAAUCAAGACUUGUCAUGUAGAGGUACAAAAUCCCAACAAUGAAUGUAACUGCACUGUAUC
rnacentral:lncRNA from 1 species